AUACGUAGGGAGCGAGCGUUGUCCGGAAUUACUGGGCGUAAAGGGCGCGUAGGCGGCGCUUCAAGUCGUCUGUCAAAUGGGAGGGCUUAACCCUUUUUCGCAGACGAAACUGGAGAGCUUGAGAAGCAGAGAGGCAAACAGAAUUCCUGGUGUAGCGGUGAAAUGCGUAGAUAUCAGGAAGAAUACCAGUGGCGAAGGCGGUUUGCUGGCUGCAUACUGACGCUGAAGCGCGAAAGCCAGGGGAGCAAACGGGAUUAGAUACCCCGGUAGUCCUGGCAGUAAACGAUGUAUGCUGGGUGUGAGACUAGCGAUAGUUUCGUGCCGAAGUUAACGCGAUAAGCAUACCGCCUGGGGAGUACGGUCGCAAGAUUGAAACUUAAAGGAAUGGACGGGG
rnacentral:rRNA from 1 species